AUCAAGUUGUGGACAAAGUGCACUUACCGGGCGUCACGCUGUGGAUUUGCGCAGCCGCGACAAACAAGACACACAAGUUCAGCUUCGCCAUGUUUUGCUCCUUUUCGUCCACAAAGUGACGACGACUCCUCCUCAUUUGACUCGCGUGGCGUUGUUGUGUCGCUCAAAUGAAGUCGAGUGUGCGAAAUUGGAGACGAGGAGCAGCGCGAGUGUUUUUGGAAGCUUGUGCUGAAACAGCGACGCUUUCGUUCUUCGCGCGCGCGCGCGCGAGCCUUUCGGGGAAGUCACGUGACCGCGCCAGCCCACUUUCCGAAGAAACAUACGACGACAUGCGUGGAGGAAAACUACAUCUGCGCUAUGUUCAUGCAAAAGUCAUCAAACUUCCCAAGGGUGUGGAUUUUCCUCUCAUUUUGUCAGUUCCAGGAAAAUAUUUGAUGUUUGUUGGGAUGAUAAGAAAAACAGAGUGAGGUCACACAUUCUGAGGGGCCGCAGGCGCAGAAUGGCAGCCACGCUUCGUCAGACUGCUUCACAAGUCGUGUCUUGGAGUGCCUAGAAAAGUGCGAUACAAGUGUCAUGCGUUGGAUUGAGUGUGAGAGAAUCAAGUUGUAUUUUUAUCUGUAAAAGAAAAGUUGUCAUAUUACAACUCAGGCAUUUUUGUAAUUUGAGAAUCAAAGUUGCAUAUUGUCAAUGAAAAGAGAAUGCGCUCUAUUUUUAGAUAAAAAGAUGCACUUUUACAAGAAUUAAGUUGUUUUUUGGGGGUUUUAGAGGCAUCAGAGAAUAUUUUAUUUUUGCUAUUUCCUUGCCUGAUAGGAGUUUUAUUUGAGAUAUGCAAGUACACCUAUGGAUGUUUCAGUGUUCUACAAAGUUUGAUUUUUAUGAGUAAGUCACAAUAAAAACUAAGAAUGAAGUUGUAUAUUCCAGAAAAAGAAUGGCAAACAAUGCAGUCAAGCAUAAGAAACCAAUGUUUUUAUUGUCGUUUCUUCCAUUUAAAAAAACAAAACAAAAAAGAGACAGAAGCAUGCACACAUUCCUGGCAGCAGCCUAAAACUUCAAAUCAGCUUGGGUGGGAACAUGAGCGUCAUUGAGAACAGGCCCGGCUGGUUUGGUGUUUUUCUUCAAGCAUCAGAAAAGGUCAUGUGACAUCUUCAACAACCACAUUUGUUCUGUGUGAACGGCUGACGUUGAAUUCAUCCUUCAUUCGUGCGGAACAAAUGAAUAAUUAUGAAGACAAAAGCCCGACAUAAAUAAAUAGACCCAGGAGGGUUUUUUUUUUUUUUUUUUUUCAACACAUAAAAUAAAGACUUUGAUUUGACAUAAACAUUUGAUCCUCUUAAAACAAAUAAAAGUCGUAUUAAAUCUGGAGCAUUUUGCGCAAUACAGCAUGUACAACAUUCGCAGAAGCAGCAGCCAAUGAGUCCGCAGCACUCAAUACAUGUACACUAUGUACAAGCAGAAAACAAACUGCAGUUUGGCACCAGGCACACUUUUCAAAAA